AUUGAACGCUGGCGGAAUGCUUUACACAUGCAAGUCGAACGGUAGAGGGGGCAACCCCUUGAGAGUGGCGAACGGGUGAGUAAUAUAUCGGAACGUGCCCAGUCGUGGGGAUAACGUAGCGAAAGUUACGCUAAUACCGCAUACGAUCUAAGGAUGAAAGCGGGGGAUCGCAAGACCUCGCGCGAUUGGAGCGGCCGAUAUCAGAUUAGGUAGUUGGUGGGGUAAAGGCUCACCAAGCCAACGAUCUGUAGCUGGUCUGAGAGGACGACCAGCCACACUGGAACUGAGACACGGUCCAGACUCCUACGGGAGGCAGCAGUGGGAAUUUUGGACAAUAGGAGCAAGCUGAUCCAGCCAUUCCGCGUGCAGGAUGAAGGACCCUCCGGGUU
rnacentral:rRNA from 1 species